rnacentral:lncRNA from 1 species
GCGGGCCCUCUGGGCGGGACCUUCGGGAAUCUCCCGCUGCAACCGGAGCCUUCUGGAUUCAUUUGCGCCUCCCCUCCCUCUUACCACUUCGUUCCAGCUUCUCAUCCUGAGCUACAGACAUUUUAAAUCUAGAUCGGAAGAGCAAGGCGUUAACCAAGGCCAAAUGGUUGAGCCAACAAUUCAUCCCUUCAGCAAGCGUUUAUCGAGCACUUACUGUGUAGCAAGCCCUGUGCCAGGUCUUGGGCAGGAGUAUCACAGGACCAUUGAGGCCUCUACUUGUGACUGGAGACAAACGGAGUUAUGUUUUCACAUGCCAUAGCUGGCUCACAGGCAAGGUCCAUGAAGUAUGCUGCUGGGAUUUCAGUUGGGAUUGCAUUGAAUCUAUAUAGCAGUUUUGGAAGUAUGGCCAUUUUCACUAUGUUGAUCCUUCCUACCCAGGAGCAAGGCUGCAGGCUGCUGGGACCCAUGAACAUAAGGAGUGAGGAGGAGGCAAGGAGAGGCAACUUGGAGGAUGUGUUCCCAGAUCUCUG